AGAACGAACGCUGGCGGCAUGCCUAACACAUGCAAGUCGAACGAGACCUUCGGGUCUAGUGGCGCACGGGUGCGUAACGCGUGGGAAUCGUACCCUUGGGUUCGGAAUAACAGUUGGAAACGACUGCUAAUACCGGAUGAUGACGUAAGUCCAAAAGAUUUAUCGCCCAGGGAUGAGCCCGCGUAGGAUUAGCUAGUUGGUGAGGUAAAGGCUCACCAAGGCGACGAUCCUUAGCUGGUCUGAGAGGAUGAUCAGCCACACUGGGACUGAGACACGGCCCAGACUCCUACGGGAG
rnacentral:rRNA from 1 species